rnacentral:rRNA from 1 species
AAUAGAUACCCAGGUAGUCCACGCCGUAAACGAUGAGUGCUAAGUGUUAGAGGGUUUCCGCCCUUUAGUGCUGCAGCUAACGCAUUAAGCACUCCGCCUGGGGAGUACGGCCGCAAGGCUGAAACUCAAAGGAAUUGACGGGGGCCCGCACGAAGCGGUGGAGCAUGUGGUUUAAUUCGAAGCAACGCGAAGAACCUUACCAGGUCUUGACAUCUCCUGACAAUCCUAGAGAUAGGACGUUCCCCUUCGGGGGACAGGAUGACAGGUGGUGCAUGGUUGUCGUCAGCUCGUGUCGUGAGAUGUUGGGUUAAGUCCCGCAACGAGCGCAACCCUUGAUCUUAGUUGCCAGCAUUCAGUUGGGCACUCUAAGGUGACUGCCGGUGACAAACCGGAGGAAGGUGGGGAUGACGUCAAAUCAUCAUGCCCCCUUAUGACCUGGGCUACACACGUGCUACAAUGGAUGGUACAAAGGGCUGCAAAACCGCGAGGUUAAGCCAAUCCCAUAAAACCCAUUCUCAGUUCGGAUUGCAGG